rnacentral:rRNA from 1 species
GGUCAAGCGAACAAGUGCAUGUGGUGGAUGCCUUGGCGAUCACAGGCGAUGAAGGACGCGGUAGCCUGCGAAAAGCGGAGGGGAGCUGGCAAACGAGCUUUGAUCCUCCGAUAUCCGAAUGGGGAAACCCGGCCCGUAUGGGUCAUCCGUAACUGAAUACAUAGGUUACGUGAAGCGAACGCGGUGAACUGAAACAUCUAAGUAACCGCAGGAAAAGAAAUCAACCGAGAUUCCCAGAGUAGUGGCGAGCGAAAUGGGACCAGCCUGUACUCUUUAUCUUCAUUGUUAGUCGAAGGCUCUGGAAAGUGCCGCCAUAGCAGGUGAUAGCCCUGUAGACGAAAACAGCGGGGAAGAACUAGGUGUACGGAAAGUAGGGCGGGACACGUGAAAUCCUGUCUGAAGAUGGGGGGACCAUCCUCCAAGGCUAAAUACUCGUGAUCGACCGAUAGUGAACCAGUACCGUGAGGGAAAGGCGAAAAGAACCCCGGGAGGGGAGUGAAACAGAUCCUGAAACCGCAUGCAUACAAACAGUCGGAGCCUCUGCGAAGGGGUGACGGCGUACCUUUUGUAUAAUGGGUCAGCGACUUACAUUCAGUGGCAAGCUUAACCGAUUAGGGCAGGCGUAGCGAAAGCGAGUCCGAACAGGGCGAUUCAGUCGCUGGGUGUAGACCCGAAACCAGGUGAUCUAUCCAUGGCCAGGAUGAAGGUGCGGUAACACGUACUGGAGGUCCGAACCCACUAACGUUGAAAAGUUAGGGGAUGAGCUGUGGAUAGGGGUGAAAGGCUAAACAAACCUGGAAAUAGCUGGUUCUCUCCGAAAACUAUUUAGGUAGUGCCUCGUGUAUCACCUUCGGGGGUAGAGCACUGUCAUGGUUGUGGGGUCCAUUGCGGAUUACUACGCCAUAGCAAACUCCGAAUACCGAAGAGUGCAAUCACGGGAGACAGACAUCGGGUGCUAACGUCCGGUGUCAAGAGGGAAACAACCCAGACCGCCAGCUAAGGUCCCCAAAUAUUGCUAAGUGGGAAACGAAGUGGGAAGGCUAAAACAGUCAGGAGGUUGGCUUAGAAGCAGCCAUCCUUUAAAGAAAGCGUAAUAGCUCACUGAUCGAGUCGUCCUGCGCGGAAGAUGUAACGGGGCUAAGCAAUAUACCGAAGCUGCGGAUGCACAUUUAUGUGCAUGGUAGGAGAGCGUUCCGUAAGCCUGCGAAGGUGCAUUGAAAAGUGUGCUGGAGGUAUCGGAAGUGCGAAUGCUGACAUGAGUAGCGAUAAAGGGGGUGAAAGGCCCCCUCGCCGUAAGCCCAAGGUUUCCUACGCAACGUUCAUCGGCGUAGGGUGAGUCGGCCCCUAAGGCGAGGCAGAAAUGCGUAGCUGAUGGGAAGCAGGUUAAUAUUCCUGCACCAUUGUUAAAUGCGAUGGGGGGACGGAUCGCGGAAGGUUGUCCGGGUGUUGGAAGUCCCGGUCCUUGCAUUGGAGAAGGCGCUUAGGCAAAUCCGGGCGCGGAAUUCAAGGGUGCGAGGCCAUUCACUUAGGUGAAGAAGCAAUCGGAAGUGGUUCCAAGAAAAGCCUCUAAGCUUCAGUUUAACAGGACCGUACCGCAAACCGACACAGGUGGGCGAGAUGAGUAUUCUAAGGCGCUUGAGAGAACUCGGGAGAAGGAACUCGGCAAAUUGGUACCGUAACUUCGGGAUAAGGUACGCCCCUGUAGCUUGAUGCCCCUGCGGGCAGAGGGUGAAGGGGUUGCAAUAAACUGGUGGCUGCGACUGUUUAAUAAAAACACAGCACUCUGCAAACACGAAAGUGGACGUAUAGGGUGUGACGCCUGCCCGGUGCCGGAAGAUUAAAUGAUGGGGUGCAAGCUCUUGAUUGAAGUCCCGGUAAACGGCGGCCGUAACUAUAACGGUCCUAAGGUAGCGAAAUUCCUUGUCGGGUAAGUUCCGACCUGCACGAAUGGCGUAACGAUGGCCACACUGUCUCCUCCCGAGACUCAGCGAAGUUGAAGUGUUUGUGAUGAUGCAAUCUCCCCGCGGCUAGACGGAAAGACCCCAUGAACCUUUACUGUAGCUUUGCAUUGGACUUUGAACCGAUCUGUGUAGGAUAGGUGGGAGGCUAUGAAGCGUGGACGCCAGUCUGCGUGGAGCCGUCCUUGAAAUACCACCCUGGUUUGUUUGAGGUUCUAACCUUGGUCCGUAAUCCGGAUCGGGGACAGUGCAUGGUAGGCAGUUUGACUGGGGCGGUCUCCUCCCAAAGUGUAACGGAGGAGUACGAAGGUACGCUAGGUACGGUCGGAAAUCGUGCUGAUAGUGCAAUGGCAUAAGCGUGCUUAACUGCGAGACCGACAAGUCGAGCAGGUGCGAAAGCAGGUCAUAGUGAUCCGGUGGUUCUGUAUGGAAGGGCCAUCGCUCAACGGAUAAAAGGUACUCUGGGGAUAACAGGCUGAUACCGCCCAAGAGUUCAUAUCGACGGCGGUGUUUGGCACCUCGAUGUCGGCUCAUCUCAUCCUGGGGCUGUAGCCGGUCCCAAGGGUAUGGCUGUUCGCCAUUUAAAGAGGUACGUGAGCUGGGUUUAAAACGUCGUGAGACAGUUUGGUCCCUAUCUGCCGUGGGCGCUGGAUAUUUGAAGGGGGCUGCUCCUAGUACGAGAGGACCGGAGUGGACGAACCUCUGGUGUACCGGUUGUCACGCCAGUGGCAUCGCCGGGUAGCUAUGUUCGGAAGAGAUAACCGCUGAAAGCAUCUAAGCGGGAAACUCGCCUUAAGAUGAGAUAUCCCCGGGGCUUCGAGCCCCUUGAAGGGUCGUUCAAGACCAGGACGUUGAUAGGUCAGGUGUGGAAGCGCAGUAAUGCGUUAAGCUAACUGAUACUAAUUGCCCGUAAGGCUUGAUCCU